rnacentral:tRNA from 1 species
GCAUAAUUAGCUCAUUGGUUAGAGCAUCACUCAUGAAUUCUGAGGUUGUGGGUUUGAUUCCCACAGUGCU